rnacentral:rRNA from 1 species
GACGAACGCUGGCGGCGUGCUUAACACAUGCAAGUCGAACGGAAAGGCCCUGCUUUUGUGGGGUGCUCGAGUGGCGAACGGGUGAGUAACACGUGAGUAACCUGCCCUUGACUUUGGGAUAACUUCAGGAAACUGGGGCUAAUACCGGAUAGGAGCUCCUGCUGCAUGGUGGGGGUUGGAAAGUUUCGGCGGUUGGGGAUGGACUCGCGGGUUAUCAGCUUGUUGGUGGGGUAGUGGCUUACCAAGGCUUUGACGGGUAGCCGGCCUGAGAGGGUGACCGGCCACAUUGGUCCUGAGAGACGGCCCAGACUCCUACGUGAGGCAGCAGUGGGGAGUAUUGCACAGUGGGCGGAAGCCUGAUGCAGCAACGCCGCGUGCGUGAUGACGGCCUUCGGGUUGUAAACCGCUUUCGCCUGUGACGAAGCGUGAGUGACGGUAAUGGGUAAAGAAGCACCGGCUAACUACGUG